AACGAACGCUGGCGGCGUGCCUAACACAUGCAAGUCGAACGCGAAAGGGGGCAACUCCCGGUAGCGUGGCAGACGGGUGAGUAACACGUGGGUAACCUGCCCCGAGGUGGGGGAUAACCCUCCGAAAGGAGGGCUAAUACCGCAUGACACCUGGAGGUCCGCGGAUCUCCAAAUCAAAGCUAGCCUCUGCUUGCAAGCUAGCGCCACGGGAGGGGCCCGCGCCCCAUUAGCUAGUUGGUGAGGUAACGGCUCACCAAGGCGACGAUGGGUAGCCGGCCUGAGAGGGCGAUCGGCCACACUGGAACUGAGACACGGUCCAGACUCCUACGGGAGGCAGCAGUGAGGAAUAUUGCGCAAUGGGCGAAAGCCUGACGCAGCGACGCCGCGUGGAGGACGAAGGUCUUCGGAUCGUAAACUCCUGUCGAGCGGGACGAAGCCGGAGCGGUGAACAGCCGCUUCGGUUGACGGUACCGCUAAAGGAAGCCCCGGCUAACUCCGUGCCAGCCGCCGCCGUAACAC
rnacentral:rRNA from 1 species